rnacentral:rRNA from 1 species
GUGCCAGCCGCCGCGGUAAUACAGAGGGUGCAAGCGUUAAUCGGAAUUACUGGGCGUAAAGCGUGCGCAGUCGGUUAUUUAAGUCGGGCGUGAAAGCCCCGGGCUCAACCUGGGAAUUGCGUUCGAUACUGGAUAGCUAGAGUUCGGCAGAGGGAAGCGGAAUUUCGGGUGUAGCGGUGAAAUGCGUAGAUAUCCGAAGGAACAUCAGUGGCGAAAGCGGCUUCCUGGACCAGAACUGACGAUCAGGCACGAAAGCGUGGGGAGCAAACAGGAUUAGAAACCCGCGUAGUCC